UCUUUAGUGGUCUAGUGGUUAAGACUUUGCACUUUCACUGCCAAGACCUGGGUUCAAUUCCCAGUCAGGGAA